GCGCGUCUCUAGAACACUUUUUUUGUUCUUUUACUUUGAGUGACAAUAUUUCAUGGUAGCUACGUUAUCAAGCACGUGACCACCUGCAAGGUUAAGGCCCGCAUUUAUGUUCCCGUGGCGAAGCAACGCCCAUUAGUUUAACCAGGUCCUUUCAUGUAGCGCGGACUUUCACUGCGACGCUGCACCAAAUACAUCCGACCGCAACGGCUACCGAGACGCUUCUGGAGCCUAGUCUGCCCGGCUGACCAGUUCAGCUUAAAAGCGGUUACGCCUGUCAUUUCUAAGAGGACACCGCAGCACCAGUGUGAAAGCGAACAAGGCGCUCACGGCUUUGGCCUCCGUGGCUCUGUACGACAGCAUCCCUUUUACGCAAGCCACCGACCAACGCCCUACCCGAAGCCGAGCAUCCCCAAGCCGCUCAAGGAAAGUCGAACCAUUCGUCUACGUCUGCUUGUUGGCCCCGGACGCAGAGGGAGGGACUGACCACAGGCUUUACUGCUUCUGCAUGUGGCCUUCGCUCCGAGGCUUGGCUGUCUAUCAACCCCCAGCGGGGCGUUCUGCUUUCCUCACGCGUUCACUCCGAACGUUGUUGCGGUUACAUCCCGACAGGUUCAUUUGCGGUUCGUAUCCCGACGUGGCGUCGGUGGUUGAUGCAGCCAGCCGACAUUUUCUCGAAGACUGGUAAUGACUGCUUCGCAUGCCUUCUCGAGCGUCACAGCCAGCUUUCCACAUCCAGACUAACUCGUGACGGACGAAGGAAACCAAGGAAACACGCUUUCUUCGGACAAGGACUUCCAGAAAGGCUUUAACCAGACACGGAAUUUGGAACCUCGGCAUGUUUGGCGCCUACCGCAUUUCGCAGAUGUGCACAUGCCGCGAGAGCAUCUCGUCUCGGAGCCCACAUCCGCACUUUCUGGAAAGCAGCGAAACAGAUGUUCAAAGGCGCUCGCGUUGAACGUCCGCAAGGUCUAUUUUAACCGUCUUUAAUUUCCUUUUUUAAACAUUUUAAAAGUUUUUAGGUAUAUGAAUGACUUUUUAAUUGUUUUUAACGGGCAAGGAAGUCUAACUUCUUGUGACAGCAUUUUAGCCGUUUUUAAACAACUUGGCAAAGGGCUUUCUUUUACUCACGAACUUCCACUCGACAAUUCCCUGCGCUUUUUAGACCUACGCAUUUCCUUUGCUAAAGGUCACGCGUGCUGGCAGUACUUUCCUCGGGCACAAAAGGGCUUG